GCAAGUUUUUCCGCUGUCCAUAAUCCCUGUUCUCAAUUAGUCAGAUUACUGGGCCAAAGGCGUACCUGCCAGACUCGGAGGACAUGCGGAAGGGACGCCAACCUGCAUUUGGACACGC